CCUACGGGUGGCAGCAGUGAGGAAUAUUGGUCAAUGGACGAGAGUCUGAACCAGCCAAGUAGCGUGAAGGAUGACUGCCCUAUGGGUUGUAACCUUCUUUUAUCUGGGAAUAAAAUGUUCCACGUUUGGGAUUUUGUAUGUACCAUAUGAAUAAGGAUCGGCUAACUCCGUGCCAGCAGCCGCGGUAAUACGGAGGAUCCGAGCGUUAUCCGGAUUUAUUGGGUUUAAAGGGAGCGUAGGUGGAUUGUUAAGUCAGUUGUGAAAGUUUGCGGCUCAACCGUAAAAUUGCAGUUGAAACUGGCAGUCUUGAGUACAGUAGAGGUGGGCGGAAUUCGUGGUGUAGCGGUGAAAUGCUUAGAUAUCACGAAGAACUCCGAUUGCGAAGGCAGCUCACUGGACUGCAACUGACACUGAGGCUCGAAAGUGUGGGUAUCGAACAGGAUUAGAUACCCUGGUAGUC
rnacentral:rRNA from 1 species